rnacentral:rRNA from 1 species
UACGUAGGUGGCAAGCGUUGUCCGGAAUUAUUGGACGUAAAGCGCGCGCAGGCGGUCCUUUAAGUCUGAUGUGAAAGCCCACGGCUCAACCGUGGAGGGUCAUUGGAAACUGGGGGACUUGAGUACAGAAGAGAAGAGUGGAAUUCCACGUGUAGCGGUGAAAUGCGUAGAGAUGUGGAGGAACACCAGUGGCGAAGGCGACUCUUUGGUCUGUAACUGACGCUGAGGCGCGAAAGCGUGGGGAGCAAACAGG